rnacentral:ncRNA from 1 species
UCUUAUCCAGAGUGGUGAAGGGAACUGGCCCGAUGAAACCCGGCAACCUGCGAUUUGUAAGGUGCUAACUCCAGCAGAAUGUAUUUACAUUUUGGAAGAUAAGG